rnacentral:ncRNA from 1 species
CGACCCCAUCUCAGGAGAGAAAACCCGCUGAGUUUAAGCAUAUAAUUAAGUGGAGGGAAAUAAACUUACAAGGAUUCCCCUAGUAACGACGAGCGAACUGGGAAGAGCCCAACAUGAAAAUCGGGUGGCAGCGUCACUUGAAUUGUAGUCUAUAGAAGCGUCCUUAGCAGCGGACCGAGCCCAAGUCCCAUGGAAGGGGGCGCCUGAGAGGGUGAUAGCCCCAUCGGGCCGAUACCCUGCCACACCACGAGGCGUUGUCGGCGAGUCGGGUUGUUUGGGAAUGCAACCCUAAUAGGGUGGUAAAUUCGGUCCAAGGCUAAAUACAGGCGAGAGACCGAUAGUGAACAAGUACCGUGAGGGAAAAAUGAAAAGGAAUUUGAAAAGAGAGUUAAAGAGUGCUUGAAAUUGCUAGGAGGGAAGUGGAUGGAGGCCGACGAUGUGUCUCGAUCGGAUGUAGAACGACUCAAGCUGGUCCGCUGCUCGACUCGAGGUGUGAACCAGCACAGGCCGUUCCAUCGACGCAAGCACGGGUGGAGUACUGCCUGUUGGUUUGUCAUUGUGGCGAUCGAGGAAUGAAGUGUGCACCCUUGGGGUGGGCCACUGUGCACCUGCACACUCGUGGUGUUGGUUGGCGGGCUUUCCAUUCGACCCCUCUUGAAACAUGGACCAAGGAGUCUAACAUGUGUGCGAGUCGGUGGGUUUGUAAACCUGCGAGGCGUAAGGAAGCUGACAG